rnacentral:rRNA from 1 species
GAUGAACGCUGGCGGCGUGCCUAAUACAUGCAAGUCGAGAGAAGCGGGGACGGGUGAGUAACACGUGGAUAACCUCCUAUAAGACGGGGAUAAAUUGGGGAAACCGGAGCUAAACCGGAUAAUUAAAGGUGGAUCACCGCUGCAUUAGCUAGUUGGUAAGGUAACGGCUUACCCAGGCAACGAUGCAUAGCCGACCUGAGAGGGUGAUCGGCCACACUGGAACUGAGACACGGUCCAGACUCCUACGGGAGGCAGCAGUAGGGAAUCUUCCGCAAUGGGCGAAAGCCUGACGGAGCAACGCCGCGUGAGUGAUGAAGGUCUUCGGAUCGUAAAACUCUGUUAUUAGGGAAGCGGUACUUAACCAGAAAGGGACGGCUAACUACGUGCCAGCCGCCGCGGUAAUAC